AAAAAAAAUCAGAAUUGUCCCAGGAGAACACCGAGUCCAAAGUCAGGAGCUUCCAAAGCAGCACAUAAGCAAGAAAGCUAGGCAAAGGUCAGGGGUCCCAGUGUGGGGUCAGGACGAAAAAGGACAGACAUAGGGUACCCUCCCUGCCAGAGACCAUCUACAGCCAGCCCCAAGGAGAGCAACGGCAAAAACGUGGGACCAAGCUACAGGGAGACACAGCUCAGAAGAUGAAAAAAAACUCUGGUUUUGCUCAAGGUCCACAAGCAAACAUUCUCUAUUUCAGUGUUAAAGGUCUUCUUAAAACUAAGGAGCAUGCCUUAGUUCUUUUAGUAAGUGCCAAAUGCUAUAACGCCUUUGAUUCAUUAUUCGGAGCAGACAUCUAUUUAUUCAGCAAGCACCCACCUACGUUGUUCUUGGGACUUUGCUAGGCAUCAGGGUCGCUGUAAGGAAAAGAGGAUGGAGACACAGAAGUGGAACAGCAACAGACAGAACUGGCUUGGAAUGUGACUUUCAUAUCCCUGGAAUGGUUUCAGACAUGGAUCUCCACCAUAACCAUGGCUUCCAGGACAAAGACAAAUGCUCUGUCUACUAGAACGCAGCUGAGAGGAUGCAAGGUCUGGAGCUGCUGCCACCAUCUUGCUACCCCAUGAAAUUUGAGACUAAAGAAAACACCACAGAAGACGAAACCAGGAAAUAGAGACCAAAUCCUGAAGACAUCGUUUGAGCUCUGAAUUCAGUACUGUCUGAAUAUCUACUCCCUAGACUUUUAAAUUAUAUAAGUCAAUACAUUUCUUUUUUUCUUAAACUGGUUUGAAUUCAGUUUUUUGUCACUUGCUACAGAAAAAUUUGUGUUUGAUUCAAGAUCCUUAAAAAGUUAGAUUUCUG
rnacentral:lncRNA from 1 species